rnacentral:misc_RNA from 1 species
AAAUAGAAGUCAUGCUAAUAGCCAAGGUAUGCAUUUCAUUCCUUUCAUAUUUUCAGUAUUCACUUUCUCCUAUAGCAUCUAUUAACUUGGGCGUCGAAGUAGCCUUACUACCCAAGCGACCAACCUCACAUCUUUCUUCAUUGCAGAAUAAACGGAAAAUCAUUAAUCGACCCAGAAACUAUAGGCAACAUUAAUACUCGUCCUGAGCUUGACCAAUUUUUCCUGAUUUCAUGCUGCCCUCUAUCAAUUAUUGGGUGGAGACAAAUAGGUUCCUCGCUCGAAACCUACCUCAGGGCAG